rnacentral:rRNA from 1 species
GACGAACGCUGGCGGCGUGCCUAAUACAUGCAAGUAGAACGCUGAAGAGAAGAGCUUGCUCUUCUUGGAUGAGUUGCGAACGGGUGAGUAACGCGUAGGUAACCUGCCUUGUAGCGGGGGAUAACCAUUGGAAACGAUAGCUAAUACCGCAUAACAAUGGAUGACCCAUGUCAUUUAUUUGAAAGGGGCAAAUGCUCCACUACAAGAUGGACCUGCGUUGUAUUAGCUAGUAGGUGAGGUAACGGCUCACCUAGGCGACGAUACAUAGCCGACCUGAGAGGGUGAUCGGCCACACUGGGACUGAGACACGGCCCAGACUCCUACGGGAGGCAGCAGUAGGGAAUCUUCGGCAAUGGGGGCAACCCUGACCGAGCAACGCCGCGUGAGUGAAGAAGGUUUUCGGAUCGUAAAGCUCUGUUGUAAGUCAAGAACGAGUGUGAGAGUGGAAAGUUCACACUGUGACGGUAGCUUACCAGAAAGGGACGGCUAACUACGUG